CAACGAUGGUUAGCUGGUCUGAGAGGAUGAUCAGCCACACUGGAACUGACACACGGUCCAGACUCCUACGGGAGGCAGCAGUGAGGAAUUUUGCGCAAUGGGGGAAACCCUGACGCAGCAACGCCGCGUGAGUGAUGAAGGCUUUCGAGUCGUAAAGCUCUGUCAAGUGAGAAGAACCUAUCCCGCGUUAAUAUCGCGGGAUACUGACGGUAUCACUGAAGGAAGCACCGGCUAACUCCGUGCCAGCAGCCGCGGUAAUACGGAGGGUGCAAGCGUUAUUCGGAAUUAUUGGGCGUAAAGGGCGCGUAGGCGGUCUUUUAAGUCAGAUGUGAAAGCCCGGGGCUCAACCCCGGAAGUGCAUUUGAAACUAAGGGACUUGAGUAUGGGAGAGGGAAGUGGAAUUCCUGGUGUAGAGGUGAAAUUCGUAGAUAUCAGGAGGAACACCGGUGG
rnacentral:rRNA from 1 species